rnacentral:rRNA from 1 species
UACGUAGGGGGCAAGCGUUGUCCGGAUUUAUUGGGCGUAAAGAGCGUGUAGGCGGCCAUGUAGGUCCGUUGUGAAAACUCGAGGCUCAACCUCGAGACGCCGAUGGAAACCAUCUGGCUAGAGUCCGGAAGAGGAGAGUGGAAUUCCUGGUGUAGCGGUGAAAUGCGCAGAUAUCGGGAGGAACACCGGUGGCGAAGGCGGUUCUCUGGGCCUGUACUGACGCUGAGGAGCGAAAGCGUGGGGAGCGAACAGG